GAUGAACGCUGACGGCGUGCCUAAUACAUGCAAGUCGAGCGAACAGACGAGGAGCUUGCUCCUCUGACGUUAGCGGCGGACGGGUGAGUAACACGUGGAUAACCUACCUAUAAGACUGGGAUAACUUCGGGAAACCGGAGCUAAUACCGGAUAAUAUAUUGAACCGCAUGGUUCAAUAGUGAAAGACGGUUUUGCUGUCACUUAUAGAUGGAUCCGCGCCGCAUUAGCUAGUUGGUAAGGUAACGGCUUACCAAGGCAACGAUGCGUAGCCGACCUGAGAGGGUGAUCGGCCACACUGGAACUGAGACACGGUCCAGACUCCUACGGGAGGCAGCAGUAGGGAAUCUUCCGCAAAGGGCGAAAGCCUGACGGAGCAACGCCGCGUGAGUGAUGAAGGUCUUCGGAUCGUAAAACUCUGUUAUUAGGGAAGAACAAAUGUGUAAGUAACUAUGCACGUCUUGACGGUACCUAAUCAGGAAGCCACGGCUAACUACGUG
rnacentral:rRNA from 1 species